rnacentral:rRNA from 1 species
UACGUAGGGGGCUAGCGUUGUCCGGAAUCAUUGGGCGUAAAGAGCGUGUAGGCGGUCCGGUAAGUCCGCUGUGAAAGUCGGGGGCUCAACCCUCGAAUGCCGGUGGAUACUGUCGGGCUAGAGUGCGGAAGAGGCGAGUGGAAUUCUCGGUGUAGCGGUGAAAUGCGCAGAUAUCGGGAGGAACACCAAUGGCGAAGGCAGCUCGCUGGGACGGUACUGACGCUGAGGCGCGAAAGCCAGGGGAGCGAACGGG